GGAUAUGAGAGUCAUCUGACUAUGACAUCUGUCAUCCCAUUGACUUUCAGGGUUGAUUCAUAGGAUCUGGCUAACUAUGUAGGGCUCUCCCUCCUCCUUCAACACUCCAAGUAUAUCCUUCUUUAUAGAAGAUGAUGACCUCCCCAAAAUGGAGGGGGAUGGUUCCUUGGUUGAGGAUAUACACU
rnacentral:snRNA from 1 species